UCCGAUAAUGUCGCGUUUGUGAGGAUUCGUUUGACUUCGUCCAUUUGUCUUCUUCAUGGACUCGUUCUUCUUCCUUCGGGAUCUCAGGCAAGAUGACAUACCCUCGAAAUCACUUCUAUGUUUGCUUGCUAGUUGUUCGUUCUAUCUCUUUGUCGUGCUACCUACCACUUGUCAUAUCAUGCCUCCCAUAUUGCCAUGCCAAGCCUCUAACCCACCUUCCUAGCAAACCGUUGUUUGGCUAUGUUAUCGCUUUUGCUCAGCCCCUCUUAUAGCGUUGCUAGUUGCAGGUGAAGCUGAAGUUUGUUCCAUGUUGGAACAUGGAUAUGUUGGGAUAUCACAAUACCUCUUAUUUUAAUUAAUGCAUCUAUAUACUUGGUAAAGGGUGAAUGGCCCGGCCUUAUGCCUGGUGUUUGGUUCCACUCUUGCCGCUCUAGUUUCCGUCAUACCGAUGUUAUGUUCCUUGAUUUUGCGUUUGUUAGGCGAUUUGGUGUUAUGGGAACCCCUUGACAGUUCGCUUUGAAUAAAACUCCUCCAGCAAGGCCCAACCUUGGUUUUACAUUUGCCUAACAACCUAUUACCCUUCCCUUGGGUCGGCCAACCCAAGGGUCAUCUUUAUUUUAACCCCCCGAGCCAGUGCUUCUCUAAGUGUUGGUCCGAACCGAGUAGACUGCGGGGUCACCUCCGGGAAACUUGAGGUUUGGUUUUACUCGUAGGAUGUCUCAUCCGGUGUUGCCCUGAGAACGAGAUAUGUGCAGCUCCUAUCGGGAUUGUCGGCACAUCGGGCGGCUUUGCUGGUCUUGUUUUACCAUUGUCGAAAUGUCUUGUAACCAGGAUUCUGUGACUGAUCGGGUCUUCUCGGGAGAAGGAAUAUCCUUUGUUGACCGUGAGAGCUUGUGAUGGGCUAAGUUGGGACACCCCUGCAGGGCAUAAACUUUUGAGAGCCGUGCCCGCGGUUAUGUGGUAGAUGGGAAUUUGUUAAUAUCUGGUUGUAGAGAACUUGACACUUAACUUAAUUAAAAUGCAUCAACCGCGUGUGUAACCGUGAUGGUCUCUUCUCGGGGGAGUCUGGGAAGUGAACACGGUUCUUGGGUUAUGUUUGAAUGUAAGUAGUUUCAGGAUCACUUCUUGAUCACUUCUAGCUUACGACCGUUGUGUUGCUUCUCUUCUCGCUCUUAUUUGCAUAUGUUAGCCACCAUAUUUGCUUAGUGCUUGCUGCAGCUCCACCUCAUUACCCUAUCCUACCCAUAAGCUUAAAUAGUCUUGAUCUCGCGGGUGUGAGAUUGUCGAGUCCUCGUGACUCACAAAUACUUCGAAACAGUUCCAGGUGCCGAUGAUACCAGUGCAGGUGACGCAACCCAGCUCAAGUGAGAGCUCGAUGAAGACCUUGGUUGUUGUUAUGUGUCUUUUCCAGUUGAUCAGUAGUGGAGCCCAGUUGGGAUGAUCGGGGAUCUAGCAUUUGGGGUUGUCUUCUUUUAUUUUGGUUCCGUAGUCGGACCUUUGAUUGUAUUCUGGAUGAUGUAUGUUUAAGUUGUUAUUUGUGUGAAGCGGCGAUUGUAAGCCAACUCUUUAUCCAUUUCUUAUUCAGUACAUGGGAUUGUGUGAAGAUUACCCCUCUUGCGACGAAACCACAAUGCGGUUAUGCCUCUAAGUCCUGCCUCGACACGUGGGAGAUAUAGC
rnacentral:lncRNA from 1 species